rnacentral:tRNA from 2 species
GGAAGUAUGCCCGAAAAAUAAGGACCUCUUUGAUAGAGAGGACCAUAGGGGUUUAAAUCCCCUUACUUCC